rnacentral:rRNA from 1 species
AGAGUUUGAUCAUGGCUCAGGAUGAACGCUGGCGGCGUGCCUAACACAUGCAAGUCGAGCGAUUCUCUUUGGAGAAGAGCGGCGGACGGGUGAGUAACGCGUGGGUAACCUGCCCUAUACACACGGAUAACGUACCGAAAGGUACGCUAAUACGAGAUAAUAUAUUUUUAUCGCAUGGUAGAAAUAUCAAAGCUUUUGCGGUAUAGGAUGGACCCGCGUCUGAUUAGCUAGUUGGUAAGGUAAUGGCUUACCAAGGCGACGAUCAGUAGCCGACCUGAGAGGGUGAUCGGCCACAUUGGAACUGAGACACGGUCCAAACUCCUACGGGAGGCAGCAGUGGGGAAUAUUGCACAAUGGGCGAAAGCCUGAUGCAGCAACGCCGCGUGAGCGAUGAAGGCCUUCGGGUCGUAAAGCUCUGUCCUCAAGGAAGAUAAUGACGGUACUUGAGGAGGAAGCCCCGGCUAACUACGUGCCAGCAGCCGCGGUAAUACGUAGGGGGCUAGCGUUAUCCGGAAUUACUGGGCGUAAAGGGUGCGUAGGCGGUCUUUCAAGCCAGAAGUGAAAGGCUACGGCUCAACCGUAGUAAGCUUUUGGAACUGUAAGACUUGAGUGCAGGAGAGGAGAGUGGAAUUCCUAGUGUAGCGGUGAAAUGCGUAGAUAUUAGGAGGAACACCAGUAGCGAAGGCGGCUCUCUGGACUGUAACUGACGCUGAGGUACGAAAGCGUGGGGAGCAAACAGGAUUAGAUACCCUGGUAGUCCACGCCGUAAACGAUGAGUACUAGGUGUCGGGGGGUUACCCCCCUCGGUGCCGCAGCUAACGCAUUAAGUACUCCGCCUGGGAAGUACGCUCGCAAGAGUGAAACUCAAAUGAAUUUGACGG